rnacentral:rRNA from 1 species
AGGGUUUGAUCAUGGCUCAGGAUGAACGCUAGCGGCAGGCUUAACACAUGCAAGUCGAGGGGUAACAGGGAAAAGCUUGCUUUUCCGCUGACGACCGGCGCACGGGUGCGUAACACGUAUGCAACCUACCUCUUACUGAGGAAUAGCCCAGAGAAAUUUGGAUUAAUACCUCAUAACACCACAAGAUCGCAUGAUCUAAUGGUUAAAGGUUACGGUAAGAGAUGGGCAUGCGGCCUAUUAGUUUGUUGGUGAGGUAAUGGCUCACCAAGACUACGAUGGGUAGGGGGUCUGAGAGGACUAUCCCCCACACUGGUACUGAGACACGGACCAGACUCCUACGGGAGGCAGCAGUGAGGAAUAUUGCGCAAUGGACGAAAGUCUGACGCAGCCAUGCCGCGUGAAGGAUGACGGCGCUACGCGUUGUAAACUUCUUUUAUAUACCAAGAAACCUUCGGACGUGUCCGAAGCUGACGGUAGUAUAUGAAUAAGCACCGGCUAACUCCGUGCCAGCC